AGCCAAAUGGAUUUAUAUUUGGUGAUUUCUGCCCAGUGAUUAUUUAACGGCCGCAGUACUUUGACUGUGCUAAGGUAGCAUAAUCAAUUGACUUUUAAUUGAAGUCUAGGAUGAAAGGAGACAUGGAAGAAAGCUGUUUCAAAAAAAGUUUUAUGAAAUUUUUAAGAAGGUGAAAAUACCUUUAUUUUAAAAAAAGACGAGAAGACCCUUAGAGUUUUUUUGUUGGGGUGACAAAUAAACAAACUUCAUUUUUUGAAAGCUUAAACUACCUUAGGGAUAACAGCAUAAUUUUUGAAAGAGAUUGUGACCUCGAUGUUGGACUAGGAAAAUAAUAAUUAGAAAUUAAUAUUUAGUGUUCUGUUCGAACAUUUUCUCCU
rnacentral:rRNA from 1 species